rnacentral:rRNA from 1 species
CUUACCCUAUGAAGGGAGAUAACCUCGGGAAACUGAGGAUAAUAUCCCAUAAUUGAGGAUGCCUGGAAUGGUUUCUCAUUGAAAGAACAAUUCAAAUGGGAAUUGUAUCGUCAUAGGAUAGGAUUGCGACCGAUCAUGGUAGUUGGCGAGGUAACGGCUCACCAAGCCUAUAAUCGGUAAGGGCCGUGAGAGCGGGAGCCCUGAGAUGGGUACUGAGACAAUGACCCAGGUCUUACGAGACGCAGCAGGCGCGGAACCUUCACAAUGCACGAAAGUGUGAUGAGGUUACCCGGAGUGCUAUAUAAUAUAGCUGUUGUAGGUGAGUAAGAUUCCCUACGAGAAAGGAGAGGGCAAGGCUGGUGCCAGCCGCCGCGGUAAAACCAGCUCUUCAAGUGGUCGGGACUUUUAUUGGGCUUAAAGUGUUCGUAGCCUGUUUAGUAAGUUCCUGGUAAAACCGGGCAGCUUAACUGUCCGUAUGCUAGGAAUACUGCUAUGCUAGAGGGCGGGAGAGGUCUGAGGUACUACAGGGGUAGGGGUGAAAUCUUAUAAUCCUUGUAGGACCACCAGUGGCGAAAGCGUCAGACUGGAACGCGCCUGACGGUGAGGGACGAAAGCCAGGGGAGCGAACCGGAUUAGAUACCCGGGUAGUCCUGGCCGUAAACGAUGCAUACUAGGCAAUGGUGCGGCCAUGAGCCGCAUCAGUACCGUAGGGAAACCGUUAAGUGUGCCGCCUGGGAAGUACGGUCGCAAGGCUAAAACUUAAAGGAAUUGGCGGGGGAGCACCACAAGGGGUGAAGCCUGCGGUUCAAUUGGACUCAACGCCGGGAAACUUACCAGGGGAGACAGCAGAAUGACAGUCAGGUUGACGACCUUAGGGGACGAGCUGAGAGGAGGUGCAUGGCCGUCGCCAGUUCGUGCUGUGAGGUAUCCUGUUAAGUCAGGCAACGAACGAGAUCCGCGCCUUUAUUUGCCAUCAAGAAGUCACGACUUCGUUGGGAACUCUAAAGGGACCGCCGUCGAUAAGACGGAGGAAGGAGCGGGCAAAGGCAGGUCAGUAUGCCCCGAAACCCCUGGGCUACACGCGGGCUGCAAUGGUGCGAACAAUGGGCUGUAACUCCGAAAGGAGAAACCAAUCCCGAAAUCGCAUCUCAGUGGGGAUUGUCGACUGUAACUCG